UACGGGGGGGGCAAGCGUUGUUCGGAAUUACUGGGCGUAAAGGGCUCGUAGGUGGCCAACUAAGUCAGACGUGAAAUCCCCAGGCUCAACUUGGGAACUGCGUCUGAUACUGGAUGGCUUGAAUUCGGGAGAGGGAUGCAGAAUUCCAGGUGUAGCGGUGAAAUGCGUAGAUAUCUGGAGGAAUACCGGUGGCGAAGGCGGCAUCCUGGACCGAGACUGACACUGAUGAGCGAAAGCUAGGGGAGCAAACGGG
rnacentral:rRNA from 1 species